rnacentral:misc_RNA from 1 species
GAGAUGCGAUAAGUAAUGUGAAUUGCAGAAUUCCGUGAAUCAUCGAAUCUUUGAACGCACAUUGCGCCCCCUGGCAUUCCGGGGGGCAUGCCUGUCCGAGCGUCAUUUCUGCCCUCAAGCACGGCUUGUGUGUUGGGUGUGGUCCCCCCGGGGACCUGCCCGAAAGGCAGCGGCGACGUCCGUCUGGUCCUCGAGCGUAUGGGGCUCUGUCACUCGCUCGGGAAGGACCUGCGGGGGUUGGUCACCACCAUAUUUCACCACGGUUGACCUCGGAUCAGGUAGGAGUUACCCGCUGAACUUAAGC